UGGUCCGGAUAACUGCUGGCGAAAGCUAGAGGAAAGUCCAUGCUCGCCUUAGCUGCGAUGCUAAGAGUGAUUGUGCUAGCGGAAACAAUAACGCUAGGGAGGGAGGAGUCCCUCACGGCGGUAGAACACCUAAAUCGUAAGACAUGGUGAACUCCUGAAAAGUGCCAAAGAGACGAGUUUAAGGGAAACCUUAAAGUGGAACGGGUAAACCCCGCAAGCGAGCAACCCAAAUUUGGUAGGGGCAACUAAAACGGCGAAAUGAAGCCCGCUUAGUAGGUGAAAACACCUAGAUAAAUAGUUAUCGAUAACAGAACAUGGCUUAUAGGA
rnacentral:RNase_P_RNA from 1 species